rnacentral:lncRNA from 1 species
AAACUAUUCUCCACACAUACAAAUUGCAACUUGUACCAGUAACUGCUAAUUAAAUAAAAAAAAAUAUCUAAAAACAUUUUUAUUCAGAAAAAAUAUAUAAAUUAGGAUGGAAGAAGAGAAGAAGCUACCUAUCUCCUGCAAAGAUAAAAAAGGGAGAGACAGAAUAAUCCUUAUAAUUCAGAAAAUGGUGCAGACAGAGACAGAGACAUUAAAGAAAGAAGAGCAGUUUGGACGAAGAAGAAGAAGAAGAAGGACCACAAGGAGACAGCAGCUGAGGUUUCUUUGACAAAUAGAAAACAACCUGACAACAGGCACAGAAAUUCAUGCUCACUUCUC